rnacentral:rRNA from 1 species
AUUGAACGCUGGCGGUAGGCCUAACACAUGCAAGUCGAACGGUAACAGGUCUUCGGAUGCUGACGAGUGGCGAACGGGUGAGUAAUACAUCGGAACGUGCCCGAGAGUGGGGGAUAACGAGGCGAAAGCUUUGCUAAUACCGCAUACGAUCUCAGGAUGAAAGCAGGGGACCGCAAGGCCUUGCGCUCACGGAGCGGCCGAUGGCAGAUUAGGUAGUUGGUGGGAUAAAAGCUUACCAAGCCGACGAUCUGUAGCUGGUCUGAGAGGACGACCAGCCACACUGGGACUGAGACACGGCCCAGACUCCUACGGGAGGCAGCAGUGGGGAAUUUUGGACAAUGGGCGCAAGCCUGAUCCAGCCAUGCCGCGUGCAGGAUGAAGGCCUUCGGGUUGUAAACUGCUUUUGUACGGAACGAAAAGACUCUGGUUAAUACCUGGGGUCCAUGACGGUACCGUAAGAAUAAGCACCGGCUAACUACGUGCCAGCCGCCGCGGUAAGAC